rnacentral:rRNA from 1 species
AUGCCGUUUGCCGAAAGAAGGGUGUUGGUCCGAUGUGUGCUCUCCGCUAUCCUAACCUUCGCCAUGUCUGUGCUGUGAACGCCAAAGAAGUUGCUCAAAGAUAUUGACAAGAUCUGUCGCCAUUUUCUCUGGGCACAAGAAAAGGACCUCACUGCCGGGCACUGCAAAGUCGCAUGGAAGAAAAUUUGCACACCAACAGAGAAUGGUGGACUAGGGAUACAUGAUCUGGGGAAAUUUUCUAGUGCCCUACGCCAGAGAUGGUUGUGGUUGGCCUGGCAAAAUGACGAGAAACCCUGGAAGAGGUCUGAGCUGCCGUGUGACAGCGCCGACAGAGCUCUCUUCGACAAAGCAACAAUGGUGACUUUGGGAAACAGCAAUCGUGCCUCCUUCUGGAACUCGCCCUGGUUCACUUCAUCAUGUCUUGCAAUGCUAUUCCCAGACCUAUACAACCGAUCAAGGGGCAAGAAAAGGUGUGUAGAGGACGCACUCACAAAUGACAAGUAG